AAAUUACAAAAUGAAACCGAGAAUGGAGACCAAAUGAAAACCUAAAUCAGCAAUUCAAAUGGGAAACAAAAUUGGAUUGAACAAGAACAAGAAAGCGAAAUUUCAUUGAAACUGAAAUAGUAAACCAAAUUGAAUUCAAAACUAGAAACGAAAAUAAAAACCUAAAAUGGAGAGCUCUCUUCUCUGUCCAAGAAGCUACAAAAACGAA
rnacentral:lncRNA from 1 species